UUUAAAUAGUAUGACGUUUCGGUAGUUAUUUUCUUGCAAAUAUAUUGAAGAUAUUUGUUUGAAAUAUAUUAAUUAGAGUUAUCGAUUGAAAUGUUAAAUAAGCAGUCGCAAAUGUCGAUAACUGGUACAAUACAAAAACAAUCAAUACUACGCUUCAUUAAACAUAAAAAUUUGAAAUAUAGUAACGAUUGGCAAUCAUAAAUCCAGAUCGCAUAAUCUUUUACUGGCUGUGCACGUCACGGCCGGAAGAGUAAAGGAACUUUAUAGGUACGACAAGAGUCUUAUUUAAAUAAUAAGGAGAUUAUUUAUUUGAUAAGAAGCGGGGCCAAGACUUUUAAUAAAAAGUGCUUUUUCUAUACUGUAAAAUGGAACGGGGACGGAAAGGGUGAAAGUUGCGUUUGCAUUCGAACUUCCAGUUACUUUAUACAGUUUUCUUUAAGAAAUGUGAAGACGAGACGAUAUGGAGGGAAUUGUUCAGCGGACAUUGUUAUUGUAUCUCUUAAUAUUGUUCAACACUUUAGAAAAGGUUUGGUGAAUUUUAGUUCAGGAAUAUUAAAGGAAUGGAAGUAAAUGACGUAUUUUUAGCUUUACCUCUGUAUGGGCUCACUGACUGGCACUGUGCUUAUAGAGAGCACUGGAUAUGUCUUCGCGACACUCUAUAAAUUUUGAAACACUGGAUACGAAUUUGUAAACUAUCGUUUUUACUCACUUUAACAUUCCGAAAUUUAACAAAAAGUCAAAUUUUCAAUAUUAAAAAAUAUUAAUAUUGCAACGAUAAGGGCUGUACGAAUAUUUCUUGCAUUCAAUGACCCUACAUAUUAUUUCUAUGACAAUGAAAUCAUUUAAACAUAUUUACAUAAUUUUUACAUAGAUUAAGUCACUGUUAAUGCAGCAAAAUCAAAUUUCAAAUUUUUGUGUUUGUAAAAAAGGUAUAUAUUUUCUUAUGGCGUUAUAAAGAUGCAAAUAUGUUUAAUCGAUUUUUU